CGAGAAUCUACUGAAAGAGUUUUCGGACAAUGGAUGUAGAGGAAAGUGGCGGACGGGUGAGUAACGCGUGAGGAACCUGCCUUGAAGAGGGGGACAACAGUUGGAAACGACUGCUAAUACCGCAUGACGCAUAGAGGUCGCAUGAUCUUUAUGCCAAAGAUUUAUCGCUUCAAGAUGGCCUCGCGUCUGAUUAGCUGGUUGGCGGGGUAACGGCCCACCAAGGCGACGAUCAGUAGCCGGACUGAGAGGUUGAACGGCCACAUUGGGACUGAGAUACGGCCCAGACUCCUACGGGAGGCAGCAGUGGGGAAUAUUGGGCAAUGGGCGCAAGCCUGACCCAGCAACGCCGCGUGAAGGAAGAAGGCUUUCGGGUUGUAAACUUCUUUUAAGAGGGAAGAGCAGAAGACGGUACCUCUAGAAUAAGCCACGGCUAACUACGUGCCAGCAGCCGCGGUAAUACGUAGGUGGCAAGCGUUGUCCGGAUUUACUGGGUGUAAAGGGCGUGCAGCCGGGUCUGCAAGUCAGAUGUGAAAUCCAUGGGCUCAACCCAUGAACUGCAUUUGAAACUGUAGAUCUUGAGUGUCGGAGGGGCAAUCGGAAUUCCUAGUGUAGCGGUGAAAUGCGUAGAUAUUAGGAGGAACACCAGUGGCGAAGGCGGAUUGCUGGACGAUAACUGACGGUGAGGCGCGAAA
rnacentral:rRNA from 1 species